rnacentral:rRNA from 1 species
UACGUAGGGGGCAAGCGUUGUCCGGAAUUAUUGGGCGUAAAGAGCGCGUAGGCGGUCCGAUAAGUCGGCUGUGAAAGUCAGGGGCUCAACCCUUGAAAGCCGGCCGAUACUGUCGGACUAGAGUCCGGAAGAGGCAAGUGGAAUUCCCGGUGUAGCGGUGAAAUGCGUAGAGAUCGGGAGGAAGGCCGGUGGCGAAGGCGGCGCUCUGGAACGUUUCUGACACUGAGGCUCGAAAGCGUGGGGAGCAAACAGG